rnacentral:rRNA from 1 species
AGUCAUAUGCUUGUCUCAAAGAUUAAGCCAUGCAUGUCUAAGUACAUGCCGUAUUAAGGCGAAACCGCGAAUGGCUCAUUAAAUCAGUUAUGGUUCCUUGGAUCGUACUUCACUACUUGGAUAACUGUGGCAAUUCUAGAGCUAAUACAUGCAGCAGAGCUCCGACCUUCGGGGACGAGCGCUUUUAUUAGACCAAAACCAAUCGGACCUCGUGUCCGUCCUUCGUGGUGACUCUGUAUAACUUUGGGCUGAUCGCACGGGCCCGUCCCGGCGACGUAUCUUUCAAGUGUCUGCCUUAUCAACUUUCGAUGGUAGGUUACGCGCCUACCAUGGUCAUAACGGGUAACGGGGAAUCAGGGUUCGAUUCCGGAGAGGGAGCCUGAGAAACGGCUACCACAUCCAAGGAAGGCAGCAGGCGCGCAAAUUACCCACUCCCAGAACGGGGAGGUAGUGACGAAAAAUAACAAUACGGGACUCUUUUGAGACCCCGUAAUUGGAAUGAGUACACUCUAAAUCCUUUAACGAGGAUCUAUUCGAGGGCAAGUCUGGUGCCAGCCGCCGCGGUAAUUCCAGCUCGAAUAGCGUAUAUUAAAGUUGUUGCGGUUAAAAAGCUCGUAGUUGGAUCUCAGUUCCAGACGGGUGGUCCGCCAAACGGUGGUUACUGCCCGUUCUGAACAGCCAGCCGGUUUCUCUUGAUGAUCUUCACCGGUUGUCUCGGGUGACCGGCAAGUUUACUUUGAAAAAAUUAGAGUGCUCAAAGCAGGCGUGACGCCUGAAUAAUGGUGCAUGGAAUAAUGGAAUAGGACCUCGGUUCUAUUUUGUUGGUUUUCGGAACACGAGG